rnacentral:rRNA from 1 species
CCAAGGAGUCUAACAUGUGCGCGAGUCACUCAGUCUUGUACAGGCUCGAGAGGCGCAAUGAAAGUAAGCUUUUAAGAGUUACGAUCCCGGUGGCUACGGUCGCUGGGCGCAGUAACGGCCCGCUCGUUUCGCCUUUUGACGAUGGAGCGGAGUCGGAGCGCAUACGUUGGUACCCGAAAGAUGGUGAACUAUAGUUGGGCAGAACGAAGCCAGAGGAAACUCUGGUGGAGGUUCGUAGCGAUUCUGACGUGCAAAUCGAUCGUCAGACCUGACCAUAGGGGCGAAAGACUAAUCGAACCAUC